rfam:Candidatus Regiella insecticola LSR1 genomic scaffold Scaffold1, whole genome shotgun sequence.
GCCCGGGUGGUGAAAUCGGUAGACACAAGGGAUUUAAAAUCCCUCGGCCUCAAGGCUGUGCGGGUUCAAGUCCCGCCCCGGGCA